rnacentral:lncRNA from 1 species
UAGCGCGCAGGGAAGGCUGGUCACCCCACCCUAAUCUUGUUAUGCAAAUAGGCUUCCCACUUGGCAGGGGCCGUCUUGUCCACUCGUUUCUGUAAACAUGGGUGGCAAAAAGAGAAGAUGGAGCUGCCAUUUAGAACAUGCCUAAUCCCAGCUUCAUCUUGCUGAGCAAAAAUGAAGGAGCCUGGACCCAACUUUGUUACUGUGAGAAAGGGUCUUCAUUCAUUCAAGAUGGCAUUUGUUAAGCACCUACUGCUGGAGUGCAGUGGUUCAAUCACGGAUCACUGCAGCCUCCACCUCCCAGUUCAAGAAAUUCUCAUGUCUCAGCCUCCUGAGCAGCUAGGAUUACAGACAAACCUUGGAAAUCAAGAAAGUUCUGGAAUGAUGAAGCUGUUCAUGCCAAGACCGAAAGUGCUGGCCCAGUAUGAGUCCAUUCAGUUCAUGCCGUGACAAUUUUCUUGGAACUCCUUUUUAUUGUUAGUUCUCACUUGUUUCCAUAUUUAGUGAAUGUACAUUUAAUUGCAAAGCUGUCAUUAAUAAAAAUUCUUAUAGUACCUCAAAAAAAAAAAAA